GCCGGGGUAGCUCAAUCGGUAGAGCGUGUGGCUCUUAGGACAACGCAAGUUGAUCCAAGGCACCUCAAGGUCGUGGUUCGUCUCCCUCUUCCUAGCC